ACAAGGAAAAAUAUCGUUUUUUUAUUUAUUUAUUUUUGCUUUCGAAACCACCCAUUCAAUUAAUUAAAAUAUAAUAUAGCGUAAAAGUAAGAAAUGUGUUUUCAAAUGUGUUUGAAUAACAUUUUUGCGUGCCUCUAAACUGGCCGGCCUUCUGAGACCUACCCUACAAGAGCUACCCCUAAUGAGAAUGCAUCAUCCUUUGUUCCAAGAUCAGCGAGAGCCCUUCCGGUGCUGAUAGGGCUUCGCAGUGUGAGUCAUGUCCAUUUGUAAAUUGGAUUUAGGAGGUCCAUAGGCCUUUGACCCAAAAGUUAUUAGCGAAAAUAAUUAUAGAGUUAACCAGGACACUGAAUUAAAAGUGAGUAAUUAUAAAUAAUAAUUUGACUUCCUUUUUCUUCUUAUUUUUCCGGACAAAUGACUAUGACUCAACGGAAACAAAUACUUUGCAUUGCCACAGACUAACCAGUAGGUGGUACUGUAAUGUCCCGCGAGAGCAGGGAAUGCUUAUUUUUGAAGAAUGACCUCAUCCUAACGUUACUGUAUCUCUCCUUCCGUAAUUUGAUGUCAAGAAUUGAACGACGAGCACUCAAAGGUCGGUCCACAUGCUAAGCACCAUAUUAAGAGCCAGUGUCACCGCGUGCGCGCACACCACCAGUCUCUCUCUCUCUCCCUCUCUCCUCCAUAACGCUGAGCCCUCCCUCCUCCUGCACACUCACCGCCUGGCUCGCUUCACGUGUGGACGCUCUCCCUCAGCUCUGUGGAAAUCACCGGUAAGGCCUGAUUUAUCUGCCUUGUUUUCUACAUUUCUCUCUCGCUCCUUCUCUCUCUGUCUCUGUCUCUCUCUCUCCCUGUGCAGAUAUAUAUAUAUACAAUAUAUAUAUAUGUAUAGUAUGCCUUUCUCUCAAGCUAUCUGUUUGUCAGUCUGUCUACCUCUCCCUCCAUUUCUGUGUGAUUAUCUUCCCCUCUGGUGCUCAGCAACAAAGGAUGGGCUGGGUGUGGCUGGAGCAGCACGAGCAAAUGACAUGUACCGUUCAUGA
rnacentral:lncRNA from 1 species